rnacentral:rRNA from 1 species
GACGAACGCUGGCGGCGUGCUUAACACAUGCAAGUCGAACGGAAAGGCCCUGCUUUUGUGGGGUGCUCGAGUGGCGAACGGGUGAGUAACACGUGAGUAACCUGCCCUUGACUUUGGGAUAACUUCAGGAAACUGGGGCUAAUACCGGAUAGGAGCUCCUGCUGCAUGGUGGGGGUUGGAAAGUUUCGGCGGUUGGGGAUGGACUCGCGGCUUAUCAGCUUGUUGGUGGGGUAGUGGCUUACCAAGGCUUUGACGGGUAGCCGGCCUGAGAGGGUGACCGGCCACAUUGGGACUGAGAUACGGCCCAGACUCCUACGGGAGGCAGAAGUGGGGAAUAUUGCACAAUGGGCGGAAGCCUGAUGCAGCAACGCCGCGUGCGGGAUGACGGCCUUCGGGUUGUAAACCGCUUUCGCCUGUGACGAAGCGUGAGUGACGGUAACGGGUAAAGAAGCACCGGCUAACUACGUG